rnacentral:tRNA from 1 species
GGGUGAUUAGCUUCAGCUGGGAGAGCACCCUCCCUUACAAGCGAGGGGGUCGGCGGUUCGAUCCCGUCAUCACCCACCA